rnacentral:rRNA from 1 species
CCUACGCGAGGCAGCAGUGGGGAAUAUUGCACACUGGGGGGAACCCUGAUGCAGCAACGCCGCGUGGGUGAAGAAGUACUUCGGUAUGUAAAGCCCUGUCAGCAGGGAAGAAAAUGACGGUACCUGACCAAGAAGCCCCGGCUAACUACGUGCCAGCAGCCGCGGUAAUACGUAGGGGGCAAGCGUUAUCCGGAUUUACUGGGUGUAAAGGGAGCGUAGACGGCAAGGCAAGUCUGGAGUGAAAGCCCGUGGCUCAACCACGGGACUGCUUUGGAAACUGUGUUGCGGGAGUGCAGGAGGGGUAAGCGGAAUUCCUAGUGUAGCGGUGAAAUGCGUAGAUAUUAGGAGGAACACCGGUGGCGAAGGCGGCUUACUGGACUGUAACUGACGUUGAGGCUCGAAGGCGUGGGGAGCAAACAGGAUUAGAUACCCGAGUAGUC